rnacentral:rRNA from 1 species
UAGGGAAUCUUCCGCAAUGGACGCAAGUCUGACGGAGCAACGCCGCGUGAGUGACGAAGGAUUUCGGUUCGUAAAACUCUGUUGUUAGAGAAGAACAGCGCAUAGAGUAACUGUUAUGCGUGUGACGGUAUCUAACCAGAAAGCCACGGCUAACUACGUGCCAGCAGCCGCGGUAAUACGUAGGUGGCAAGCGUUGUCCGGAUAUAUUGGGCGUAAAGCGAGCGCAGGCGGUUAGAAAAGUCUGAAGUGAAAGGCAGUGGCUCAACCAUUGUAGGCUUUGGAUACUGUUUAACGUGAGUGCAGAAGGGGAGAGUUGAAUUCCAUGUGUAGCGGUGAAAUGCGUAGAUAUAUGGAGGAACACCGGUGGCGAAUGCGGCUCUCUGGUCUGUAACUGACGCUGAGGCUCGAAAGCGUGGGGAGCGAACAGG